AUUUUUUUAAUAUAACAAAGUAUAUCUGACUUCCAAUCAGAAAGUCUAGCUUCUAGAAAAAAUA
rnacentral:tRNA from 1 species